UGGAAACUGGGAAACUUGAGUGCAGAAGAGGAGAGUGGAAUUCCACGUGUAGCGGUGAAAUGCGUAGAGAUGUGGAGGAACACCAGUGGCGAAGGCGACUCUCUGGUCUGUAACUGACGCUGAGGAGCGAAAGCGUGGGGAGCGAACAGGAUUAGAUACCCUGGUAGUCCACGCCGUAAACGAUGAGUGCUAAGUGUUAGGGGGUUUCCGCCCCUUAGUGCUGCAGCUAACGCAUUAAGCACUCCGCCUGGGGAGUACGGUCGCAAGACUGAAACUCAAAGGAAUUGACGGGGGCCCGCACAAGCGGUGGAGCAUGUGGUUUAAUUUGAAGCAACGCGAAGAACCUUACCAGGUCUUGACAUCCUCUGACAACCCUAGAGAUAGGGCUUUCCCUUCGGGGACAGAGUGACAGGUGGUGCAUGGUUGUCGUCAGCUCGUGUCGUGAGAUGUUGGGUUAAGUCCCGCAACGAGCGCAACCCUUGAUCUUAGUUGCCAGCAUUCAGUUGGGCACUCUAAGGUGACUGCCGGUGACAAACCGGAGGAAGGUGGGGAUGACGUCAAAUCAUCAUGCCCCUUAUGACCUGGGCUACACACGUGCUACAAUGGACAGAACAAAGGGCUGCAAGACCGCAAGGUUUAGCCAAUCCCAUAAAUCUGUUCUCAGUUCGGAUCGCAGUCUGCAACUCGACUGCGUGAAGCUGGAAUCGCUAGUAAUCGCGGAUCAGCAUGCCGCGGUGAAUACGUUCCCGGGCCUUGUACACACCGCCC
rnacentral:rRNA from 1 species